AGUGAACGCUGGCGGUAGGCCUAACACAUGCAAGUCGAACGGCAGCACAGUAAGAGCUUGCUCUUACGGGUGGCGAGUGGCGGACGGGUGAGGAAUACAUCGGAAUCUACUUGUUCGUGGGGGAUAACGUAGGGAAACUUACGCUAAUACCGCAUACGACCUACGGGUGAAAGCAGGGGAUCUUCGGACAUUGCGCGAUCGAAUGACCCGAUGUCGGAUUAGCUAGUUGGCGGGGUAAAGGCCCACCAAGGCGACGAUCCGUAGCUGGGCUGAGAGGAUGAUCAGCCACACUGGAACUGAGACACGGUCCAGACUCCUACGGGAGGCAGCAGUGGGGAAUAUUGGACAAUGGGCGCAAGCCUGAUCCAGCCAUGCCGCGUGGGUGAAGAAGGCCUUCGGAUUGUAAAGCCCUUUUGGUUGGAAAGAAAAGCAGUAGGUUAAUACCCCGCUGUUCUGACGGUACCCAAAGAAUAAGCACCGGCUAACUUCGUG
rnacentral:rRNA from 1 species